AUGCAAGUCGAACGAAGCACUUUCCCGAGAAGAAGCGUGCUUGACACAAAUCGGACUCAAUUAAAGGUGACUUAGUGGCGGACGGGUGAGUAACGCGUGGGUAACCUGCCUUAUACAGGGGGAUAACAGUUAGAAAUGACUGCUAAUACCGCAUAAGCGCACAGUAUCGCAUGAUACAGUGUGAAAAGCGUAACGGUAUAAGAUGGACCCGCGUCUGAUUAGCCAGUUGGUGAGGUAACGGCUCACCAAAGCGACGAUCAGUAGCCGGCCUGAGAGGGUGAACGGCCACAUUGGGACUGAGACACGGCCCAAACUCCUACGGGAGGCAGCAGUGGGGGAUAUUGCACAAUGGGGGGAAACCCUGAUGCAAGCGACGCCGCGUGAGUGAAGAAGUAUUUCGGUAUGUAAAGCUCUAUCAGCAGGGAAGAAAAUGACGGUACCUGACUAAGAAGCCCCGGCUAACUACGUGCCAGCAGCUGC
rnacentral:rRNA from 1 species